rnacentral:tRNA from 1 species
GCCGCUGUAGCUCAACUGGCAGAGUACCGCUCUUGUAAAGCGGAUGUUAUGGGUUCGAGUCCCAUCUGCGGCU